UACGAAGGGUGCAAGCGUUGUUCGGAAUUAUUGGGCGUAAAGGGCGCGUAGGCGGCCACCGCAAGUCGACUGUGAAAUCUCCGGGCUUAACCCGGAACGGUCAGCCGAUACUGCGGGGCUAGAGUGCAGAAGGGGCAACUGGAAUUCUCGGUGUAGCGGUGAAAUGCGUAGAUAUCGAGAGGAACACCUGCGGCGAAGGCGGGUUGCUGGGCUGACACUGACGCUGAGGCGCGAAAGCUAGGGGAGCGAACGGG
rnacentral:rRNA from 1 species